ACGUGACAGGACAUCUCGGACUCAGGGUUGUCAGGCUGGCCCCGCAGCAGAUAGGCAAAAUAGGUGAGGUCAUUGCUGUUGUGUAUGAAGCGAGAGAUGAGCUGUGCUUUGUGCUCGAAUAUGAAGACUGAAGAGUUGUUGCUGCUGGAAGGGACACAUCGGACGAAGGGGGGGUUGAGGACCAGCUGAACUUCUCUUGGCUGCACCAUGGGGCCGCAGUCUCCUUUCUCACUUCUCCUGCGGAUCUCAGCCACCAGCCACGGCAGCAUGGGCAGGGUGGUCCGCCUGUCGAGCGAGGACCAGCCGAUGUAAGUCAGGGCGAACCUCCUGUCGGACUUCGGAGGGCUGUUCUCCCUCUCCUCCUGACUCUCCAUGUCGACGCAGCAGACUUUCGGCUGAAGCUCGGUGACACAGAUGUGGGACUAAAGACUACUUUCAAAAAUGAUGCCGAGCCGAUCUGUACCAUUUGCAACCAAGGGUGGAUCGUAACCAUCGUAAAAGGUGCAUACCGCCACCUACUGUAUUGGAGCAUUGACAUACAACCCCGUUGCUCUGGACGGAGACUAAGGGGUCAAGUGGCGUCUCCAUGAAGUGGGGUGGAUGAUGAAGUUUGAUGCAGCAUCUUUACUCAAGGUAUACAUUGCCUUACACCAGAGUACAUACUCCUCUAUAAAUUACAUUAGCCCCUUGGACAGUUGGAGACCGCUGAACGGUAUUCACCCAGAGUUAUACUCACAUGAUGGGGACGGUUUAAUAGAGUGCUGUCUUGGUGUUGGACUUGACUUGAACACACUUGCUUAUGGUUUACUAAGACGACUGGUUUAUCAAAAAUAAAGGAAAACCUUAGCUUAAAAAGACACGCAUAUCAAGAUUAAACACUCCCUGUUGAAUGAACAAAAAACUACUGACAGAAUUUAGCAAAAGAAGUAAUUCCAUCUUGCCUUUAGAGAAUGAUCACUAGAUAGAUUAUUGUGCAAUUACUUCAAUCACACACUGCUCACACAGACCUCUUUGGUUGUCCUAUUGCUGUGUGAUAUGGUGAAAAAAGGCUGUGCUUGCACAUGUUGCUGGCUGUGGCUAAUACCCUGCUUUGCACUCAUUUGAACAGCAGAGUGACAAACACCUGUUGGCUGCA